CCUACGGGUGGCUGCAGUGGGGGAUAUUGCACAAUGGGGGAAACCCUGAUGCAGCGACGCCGCGUGGGUGACGCAGCGCCUCGGCGCGUAAAGCCCUUUCAGCAGGGAAGAAAAUGACGGUACCUGAAGAAGAAGCCCCGGCUAACUACGUGCCAGCAGCCGCGGUAAUACGGAGGGGGCAAGCGUUAUCCGGAUUUACUGGGUGUAAAGUGGGCGCAGGCGGCGAUGCAAGCCAGGAGUGAAAGCCCGGUGCCCAACCCCGGGACUGCUCUUGGAACUGGGUGGCUAGAGUGCAGGAGGGGAAGGCGGAAUUCCUGGUGUAGCGGUGAAAUGCGUAGAUAUCAGGAGGAACACCGGUGGCGAAGGCGGCCUGCUGGACGACAACUGACGUUGAGGCCCGAAAGCGUGGGGAGCAAACAGGAUUAGAUACCCUUGUAGUC
rnacentral:rRNA from 1 species